AUUGAACGCUAGCGGGAUGCUUUACACAUGCAAGUCGAACGAGUGGCGGACGGGUGAUUAAUAUAUCGGCACGUUCCCAGUAGCGGGGGAUAACUACUCGAAAGAGUGGCUAAUAUCGCAUCCUAUUGGAGCGGCCCAUAUCGGAUUAGCUAGUUGGUGGGGUAAUGGCUCACCAAGGCAACGAUCCGUAGCUGGUUUGAGGGGACGACGCGCCACACGGGGACGGAGCGCCGGCCCAGAGUCCGACGGACGGCAGCAGUGGGGAAUGUUGGAAGAAGGGGGGAACCCUGAUCAAUCCAUCCCGCGUUUAUGAGAAGGCCUUCGGGUGGUAAAGUGCUUUUGGCAGUGAAGCGGUAUCUGCAGAAGAAGCACCGGCUAACUACGUGCCAGCAGCCGCGGUAAUUC
rnacentral:rRNA from 1 species